GAUGAACGCUGGCGGCGUGCCUAAUACAUGCAAGUCGAACGAAACUUCUUUAUCACCGAGUGCUUGCACUCACCGAUAAAGAGUUGAGUGGCGAACGGGUGAGUAACACGUGGGCAACCUGCCCAAAAGAGGGGGAUAACACUUGGAAACAGGUGCUAAUACCGCAUAACCAUAGUUACCGCAUGGUAACUAUGUAAAAGGUGGCUAUACUACCGCUUUUGGAUGGGCCCGCGGCGCAUUAGCUAGUUGGUAGGGUAAAGGCUUACCAAGGCAAUGAUGCGUAGCCGAAUUGAGAGGUUGAUCGGCCACAUUGGGACGGAGACACGGCCCAAACUCCUACGGGAGGCAGCAGUAGGGAAUCUUCCACAAUGGGCGAAAGCCUGAUGGAGCAACGCCGCGUGGGUGAAGAAGGUCUUCGGAUCGUAAAACCCUGUUGUUAGAGAAGAAAGUGCGUGAGAGUAACUGUUCACGUUUCGACGGUAUCUAACCAGAAAGCCACGGCUAACUACGUG
rnacentral:rRNA from 1 species